rnacentral:rRNA from 1 species
UGAAUACGAGAUGCUACGGCGUCGAAGCAGUGUAUGUCAGACUUCCAAGAAAAGCUCGCAAUGUCAUAAAUAAAGAAUGCCUGCACCAUAACCGACACAGGUGGGUAGGUAGAGUAUACUAAGGGGCGCGAGAUAACUCUCUCUAAGGAACUCGGCAAAAUAACUCCGUAACUUCGGGAGAAGGAGUGCCUUCUUUAAGAAGGUUGCAAUAACAAGAUCCAAGCAACUGUUUAUCAAAAACACAGGUCUCCGCUAAGUCGUAAGACGAUGUAUGGGGGCUGACGCCUGCCCAGUGCCAGAAGGUUAAAGAAGCUGGUUAGCAAUAGCGAAGCUGGUGACUGAAGCCCUGGUGAACGGCGGCCGUAACAAUAACGGUCCUAGGGUAGCGAAAUUCCUUGUCGGGUAAGUUCCGACCCGCACGAAAGGCGUAAUGAUUUGGAUACUGUCUCGGAGAGGGACUCGGUGAAAUAGACUUGUCUGUGAAGAUGCGGACUACCUGCACCAGGACAGAAAGACCCUAUGAAGCUUUACUGUAACCUGAAAUUGAAAUUGGACUUUAUUUGCGCAGUAUAGGUGGGAGGCGUUGAAAGUAAUCUUGCGGGAUUAGUGGAGCCAUCAGUGAGAUACCACUCCUAUAAUGUUAGAUUUCUAACUUUGGAUCAUGAUCUGGUCAAAGAACAGUUUCAGGCGGGCAGUUUGACUGGGGCGGUCGCCUCCCAAAUGGUAACGGAGGCGUACAAAGGUUUCCUCUGAACGGGUAGAAAUCGUAUCUAGAGUGUAAAGGCAUAAGGAAGCUUGACUGUGAGACCUACAAGUCGAGCAGGGACGAAAGUCGGUCUUAGUGAUCUGACGGUGCUGAGUGGAAAGGCCGUCACUCAACGGAUAAAAGUUACUCUAGGGAUAACAGGCUGAUCUCCCCCAAGAGUUCACAUCGACGGGGAGGUUUGGCACCUCGAUGUCGGCUCAUCGCAUCCUGGGGCGGUAGUACGUCCCAAGGGUUGGGCUGUUCGCCCAUGAAAGCGGUACGCGAGCUGGGUUCAGAACGUCGUGAGACAGUUCGGUCCAUAUCCGGUGUAGGCGUUAGAAUAUUGAGAGGAGCCUUCUCUAGUACGAGAGGACCGAGAAGGACAUACCUCUGGUGUACCAGUUAUCGUGCCAACGGUAAACGCUGGGUAGCUAUGUAUGGAGAGGAUAACCGCUGAAAGCAUCUAAGUGGGAAGC